rnacentral:rRNA from 1 species
AGAGUUUGAUCCUGGCUCAGAAUCAACGCUGGCGGCGUGCCUAACACAUGCAAGUCGAGCGCGAAAGCGGACUUCGGUCUGCGAGUAGAGCGGUGAACGGGUGAGUAACGCGUGGGUGAUCUGCCUUCGAGUGGGGAAUAACACCGGGAAACUGGUGCUAAUACCGCAUGACAUCCUCGGUUCGUUCCGGGGAUCAAAGCUGGGGACCGUAAGGCCUGGCGCUUGAAGAGGAGCCCGCGUCCGAUUAGCUUGUUGGCGGGGUAAUGGCCCACCAAGGCUUCUAUCGGUAGCCGGCCUGAGAGGGCGGACGGCCACACUGGGACUGAGACACGGCCCAUACUCCUACGGGAGGCAGCAGUGGGGAAUUUUCCGCAAUGGGGGAAACCCUGACGGAGCAACGCCGCGUGGAGGAUGAAGGCCCUCGGGUCGUAAACUCCUGUCGAUCGGGAAGAAUGCGUCCGACCCAAUACGUCGGCACGUUGACUGUACCGGUGGAGGAAGCCACGGCUAACUCUGUGCCAGCAGCCGCGGUAAGACAGAGGUGGCAAGCGUUGUUCGGAAUUACUGGGCGUAAAGGGCGCGCAGGCGGUUCGCCAAGUCCCGUGUGAAAUCCCCCGGCUCAACUGGGGAACUGCGCGGGAAACUAGUGGGCUUGAGUUCAGGAGAGGAAAGCGGAAUUCCGGGUGUAGCGGCGAAAUG